UCAAUUAUUCAUGUACAUAAAGAAACACAACCACUCUGCCACUUCUGACAUUUGUGAAUAAAUCAGCACCAAAUCUUAUAAAACCGAAAAGAACCGCCUGGAACCUUUCCCCUUCCUUGCGCGACCUAACCAGCUUCCCACCAUAAAACUCUUCAUCUUUACACGAUGUUUUGACUUCAAAUUGUUACCCUUGAGUUCGGUUACAAGGAAAACGAAUCAUAGCACCGUUAAAUCGAACUUUAUGAUAACCAUAACUCAUCCUUAAUCUCAAUCAAAAGCCAUUUAAAGCUUGUAAGAACAUAAAAUGGGUUUUUACUAAAAUCGCCAAAUUCGUUUACCAAACUAAUACCCUAGAUUUCUCCGUUCAUUCCACGCAAAACCCCACUGAAAUUUCUCCAUUUCAUCACCUCUACAUCGCGAAUUUAAUCGAAGAACAUUCUAGGGCUUGUAACUUGUGCAGACGAUAUCUCCUUCAAUUCUCAACCUUUUCAGGGUUUUAUCGUAUUGUUAAUCAAAUCGUGCGGUUUAGCGAUUAAAGGAUCGAAUCUUCGCAAACUGUGUAGAGGAUUGAAGACUGGACUGGAUCAGGAUCACGUAGGAACUUUGCCAUAGUAAUUAAAAAGGACAAGUUGAUGUAUUAUUUGAAUAUUUGAAACUUAUAUGAAAAGUGUGACAUUAAAUCA